UACAGAGGGUGCAAACGUUGCUCGGAAUUAUUGGGCGUAAAGCGCGUGUAGGCGGCUUGUUAUGUCGGUCGUGAAAGCCCACGGCUCAACCGUGGAAGUGCAACCGAAACUGGCAAGCUUGAGUCCUGACGAGGAUGGCGGAAUUCCCAGUGUAGAGGUGAAAUUCGUAGAUAUUGGGAGGAACAUCGGUGGCGAAGGCGGCCAUCUGGGAAGCGACUGACGCUGAGACGCGAAAGCGUGGGUAGCAAACAGG
rnacentral:rRNA from 1 species